AUGAACUCACUGGAGCAGGCGGAAGACCUCAAGGCUUUCGAGAAAAGGCUUUCUGAAUAUAUUCACUGCUUGCAGCCUGCCACAGGAUGUUGGAGAAUGCUGCUUAUAGUGGUAUCUGUCUGUACAGCUACUGGUGCCUGGAACUGGCUAAUAGAUCCUGAAACACAAAAGGUGUCCUUCUUUAUAGCAUUGUGGAAUCACCCAUUUUUUACUAUUAGCUGUAUCACUCUAAUAGGCUUGUUCUUUGCUGGAAUACACAAGAGAGUAGUUGCACCAUCAAUUAUAGCUGCUCGAUGUGGAACUGUUUUGGCAGAGUACAAUAUGUCUUGUGAUGAUACAGGAAAACUAAUUUAGAAACCUAUGCCUCACGUUCAAUG